rnacentral:rRNA from 1 species
UACAGAGGUCCCAAGCGUUGUUCGGAUUCACUGGGCGAAAGGGUGCGUAGGUGGUUGGGUAAGUCUGAUGUGAAAUCUCCGGGCUCAACCCGGAAAUGGCAUUGGAUACUAUCCAGCUCGAGGAUCGGAGGGGGGACUGGAAUUCUUGGUGUAGCAGUGAAAUGCGUAGAUAUCAAGAGGAACACCAGUGGCGAAGGCGAGUCCCUGGACGAUUCCUGACACUGAGGCACGAAAGCUAGGGGAGCAAACAGG